rnacentral:rRNA from 1 species
AGAGUUUGAUUCUGGCUCAGAACGAACGCUGGCGGCGUGGAUAAGACAUGCAAGUUGAACGAUUACUACCUGGUAGCAAUAUUGAGUAGUGAGAGUGGCGUAAGGGUGCGUAACACGUGGGCAACUUACCGUGAAGCUGGGGAUAACUCCGAGAAAUCGGAGCUAAUACCGGAUGUGGUUUUCGGGAGGCAUCUCCUGAUAAUUAAAGCUGGGGACCGCAAGGCCUGGCACUUUACGAUAGGCCCGCGGCCUAUCAGCUAGUUGGUAAGGUAACGGCUUACCAAGGCAACGACGGGUAGCUGGUCUGAGAGGACGACCAGCCACACUGGAACUGAGACACGGUCCAGACACCUACGGGUGGCAGCAGUCGAGAAUUUUUCUCAAUGGGCGAAAGCCUGAAGGAGCGACGCCGCGUGGGGGAUGACGGGCUUAGGCUUGUAAACCCCUGUCAUUCGCGAGCAAACCUUUUUACCUAAUACGUGAAAAGCUGAUAGUAGCGAAAGAGGAAGGGACGGCUAACUCUGUGCCAGCAGCCGCGGUAAUACAGAGGUCCCAAGCGUUGUUCGGAUUCACUGGGCGUAAAGGGUGCGUAGGUGGUAGGGUAAGUUUGGUGUGAAAUCUUCGAGCUCAACUCGGAAACUGCAUUAAAAACUGCCUUGCUAGAGGAUCGGAGGGGAGACUGGAAUUCUCGGUGUAGCAGUGAAAUGCGUAGAUAUCGAGAGGAACACCAGUGGCGAAAGCGAGUCUCUGGACGAUUCCUGACACUGAGGCACGAAAGCUAGGGGAGCAAACAGGAUUAGAUACCCUGGUAGUCCUAGCCGUAAACGGCGCACAUUUGCCGUGAGGGGAAUCGACCCCUUUCGUGGCGAAGCUAACGCGUUAAAUGUGCCGCCUGGGAAGUACGGCCGCAAGGCUAAAACUCAAAGAAAUUGACGGGGGCCUGCACAAGCGGUGGAGUAUGUGGCUUAAUUCGAUUCAACGCGAAGAACCUUACCUGGCCUUGACAUGCAAGUAGUAGAAACCUGAAAGGGUAACGACCCCGCAAGGGGAGCUUGCACAGGUGCUGCAUGGCUGUCGUCAGCUCGUGUCGUGAGAUGUUGGGUUAAGUCCCGCAACGAGCGCAACCCUUGUGUCUUGUUGCCACUUUCGCGAGAGCGAAAAGCACUCUGGACAGACUGCCUCGUUUCAACGAGGAGGAAGGUGGGGACGACGUCAAGUCAGGAUGGCCCUUACGGCCAGGGCUGCACACGUACUACAAUGCCUAGUACAAAGGGAAGCAAGACCGCAAGGUGGAGCAAAUCCCAUAAAAUUAGGCUCAGUUCAGAUUGUCGGCUGCAAUUCGCCGGCAUGAAGCUGGAAUCGCUAGUAAUGGCGCAUCAGCUACGGCGCCGUGAAUACGUUCCCAGGCCUUGUACACACCGCCCGUCACAUCAUGAAAGCUGUUUGUACCCGAAGUCCAUGUGUUAACCGCAAGGAAAUAGUGGCCGAAGGUAUGAAUGGUGAUUGGGAUGAAGUCGUAACAAGGUA